ensembl:lncRNA
CAGGUAGCUGGGUCCAGGGGCAGGCAGAAGGUCAUACACAGGAGGAGGCAGGUAGCUGGGUCCAGGGGCAGGCAGAAGGUCAUACACAGGAGGAGGCAGGUAGCUGGGUCCAGGGGCAGGCAGGAGGUCAUACACAGGAGGAGGCAGGUAGCUGGGUCCAGGGGCAGGCAGGAGGUCAUACACAGGAGGAGGCAGGUAGCUGGGUCCAGGGGCAGGCAGGAGGUCAUACACAGGAGGAGACAGGUAGCUGGGUCCAGGGGCAGGCAGAAGGUCAUACACAGGAGGAGGCAGGUAGCUGGGUCCAGGGGCAGGCAGAAGGUCAUACACAGGAGGAGGCAGGUAGCUGGGUCCAGGGGCAGGCAGGAGGUCAUACACAGGAGGAGGCAGGUAGCUGUGUCCAGGGGCAGGCA